rnacentral:rRNA from 1 species
AUUGAACGCUGGCGGCAGGCCUAACACAUGCAAGUCGAGCGGCAGCGGGAAAGUAGCUUGCUACUUUUGCCGGCGAGCGGCGGACGGGUGAGUAAUGCCUGGGAAAUUGCCCAGUCGAGGGGGAUAACAGUUGGAAACGACUGCUAAUAACGCAUACGCCCCACGGGGGAAAGCAGGGGACCUUCGGGCCUUGCGCGAUUGGAUAUGCCCAGGUGGGAUUAGCUAGUUGGUGAGGUAAUGACUCACCAGGGCGACGAUCCCUAGCUGGUCUGAGAGGAUGAUCAGCCACACUGGAACUGAGACACGGUCCAGACUCCUACGGGAGGCAGCAGUGGGGAAUAUUGCGCAAUGGGGGAAACCCUGAUGCAGCCAUGCCGCGUGUGUGAAGAAGGCCUUCGGGUUGUAAAGCACUUUCAGCGAGGAGGAAAGGUUGAUGCCUAAUACGUAUCAACUGUGACGUUACUCGCAGAAGAAGCACCGGCUAACUCCGUGCCAGCCGCCGCCGUAAGAC